CCUACGGGCGGCAGCAGUGGGGAAUAUUGGACAAUGGGCGAAAGCCUGAUCCAGCCAUGCCGCGUGUGUGAAGAAGGCCUUCGGGUUGUAAAGCACUUUCAGUGGGGAAGAAAGCCUUGGGGCUAAUACCCUCGAGGAAGGACAUCACCCACAGAAGAAGCACCGGCUAACUCCGUGCCAGCAGCCGCGGUAAUACGGAGGGUGCGAGCGUAAAACGGAAUUACUGGGCGUAAAGCGCGCGUAGGCGGUCUGAUAAGCCGGUUGUGAAAGCCCCGGGCUCAACCUGGGAACGGCAUCCGGAACUGUCAGGCUAGAGUGCAGGAGAGGAAGGUAGAAUUCCCGGUGUAGCGGUGAAAUGCGUAGAGAUCGGGAGGAAUACCAGUGGCGAAGGCGGCCUUCUGGACUGACACUGACGCUGAGGUGCGAAAGCGUGGGUAGCAAACAGGAUUAGAUACCCGGGUAGUC
rnacentral:rRNA from 1 species